UAGGUUGUAGUUCUGAAAAUCUUUAAGUCUUUAAUUCCUUAAAUGUCUUUAACGUAAUUAUAUUGUUUGGUUGGUGAGGUUUAAUGGGGAGACAAGCAAGGAUAUUGAGAUGCACGAAGACAGAAGGUCAGUGAUGGGAUUUGUUUUUAAUGAAUCUGCGAAAAGGUUAGUCAGGGUUUAGUCAGAUCCACUCGCAGAUGUCCUCUUCCUCCCAUUUUUGAACGUUACUGCUGUUUCACUCAUUUUCUCGUUUCACAAUUAAACACCCACUACACCCGCAGCUGAUUUUUUUUCACCCUAUAAAUCCAGCCUCUUCGUAUUGGUGUUCUCUCGAAAUCUUGAAUUCUCUCAGAUAAUACACCAUAUACUCUUCAGCUUCUGUUCGCGUUGAGAAAUCUCGAUGGUGAUUUCUGCAAUGAUGAGAUUGUUUCCAGGUUGGUUUACUUCUGGGUGUUCAAUCAGACGCACAAAUCUCUGCUAAUAUGUCACUUUCUUGUUCUUUCUCAGAGAUGAGCCUUUUCCUGAAUUCUGCAGAUUCUUCAUCAGAUACGAACAUGGGAUCUCGGUUUGUGACUUUUUAUAUUCUUUAACAGCAAUCUUUUAGAUUUUUUGACAGAUUUUUAUCCUUUUAAAAAAAAAAACGGUGACCCUUCUGUAGAUGGUUCAUCAGAAGUGAAUGUUGUCUAUGAGUUUGUAAUCUUUUGGAUUCUUUAACAUCAAUCUUGCAAAUUGAUUUCUGGUUUGCAUCUUCAUGUUAUAGAACUUCAAUACGAUUUUAACUCUUUUAUUGGUAUAUACUACAGAUAUAUGUGUGAUGAACUGAUUUUCCUGGCUUUAUCAAAGAUCAAUGAUGAACAUGAUGUGAGUGGUCUUGAUGUUGAUGGGAUUUUAAUUUGAAUACCAUUGAUUUCUCGCUUAAUAACUUUAAAAGGAAACCUGUUUAGUCUUGGUUUGAUGAUUCCUCCAUAGUGCUUGAUCCAUCCUGCUAUCUUUUCUACGUUUUCUUCUGCUUCUGACAUAUAUAUACAUACAACAAUUGCUUUUUAUCAUAUUUCAGUUUCAGUUCUUUGAUUGAAAGCAAUCGAUUCACCGUGAAUGGUACAAAGAGUAACGAAAGUAGAGGUUUGAUUAACAGAGAAGGAUACAUGAAAAGCAGAGAGGCUUGACGAACACAUGAGCUACUCUUGAGUCUUUCAUCUGUAAUGUCUAAAAGAAUUGUCCAGUUCUUCUUCAUCAAACAAGGUUUAGCGAGAACCACGUCGGCGGAGAUGUAGGAGGAAUUGAGGAAAAGGAAAGUGAUGCAGUCGCUGAGGAGUAGGCAGUGAAAGUAGGAGAUGCGCUGAAGCAUCUACAGUGGAACAUGGUAAUGGGAAUCAAGUGGACUUCAGCGACGCCUUUCAGAAAGGGCCCGGAGAGUUCAAUAGCUCAUUAUUAGUUUGCAGCAGAGUAUGACGAUAUACAGAUUGUUAUUCAUGUAGGAGUGUAUCUAUCUUCCCUUUGAUUUCCUUUUUCUAUAAUGCUCCGGGAUUCUUCUGUUGCUGUCCAAUUAACGAUUUUCUGAAUACCCUUUUUCGACUUUGUUAUGUAAGUUCAAAUUUCAGAUAUAUGGAUUCGAAUGAAUUGAUGCAGCUCCUGAGCUCUUGGAUUGGUCAAAUGAGUUUCUGUUCCUUAUAUAUUUAAUUCUCAUGGAGAGGCUUUAAUUUCAUUAGUGCUUUAGUGCUUAUUGGAAUUCAGCGAUCAAAGACAAUGUGAUGUUGCCAAGAGCCUGUCUUUCGUAUCAAUACCUCAAAACGUGCUUAGAUCAAGUGCAGUUAGUGCUCAUUGCGAUUUGAUUCUCCAAGCAAUAUCUGAGUUUUCCAGUUGAUUAUUUAUGUAUACAGUAUAUCACGGAUUCUUAAGUCAUAUGUAUUGGAGAAAAUAUCAUCGUAUAUUU